CAGUCGCCGCGGGAAUACGAAGGGGGCUAGCGUUGUUCGGAUUUACUGGGCGUAAAGCGCACGUAGGCGGAUCGAUCAGUCAGGGGUGAGAUCCCAGAGCUCAACUCUGGAACUGCCUUUGAUACUGUCGAUCUGGAGUACGGAAGAGGUGAGUGGAAUUCCGAGUGUAGAGGUGAAAUUCGUAGAUAUUCGGAGGAACACCAGUGGCGAAGGCGGCUCACUGGUCCAUUACUGACGCUGAGGUGCGAAAGCGUGGGGAGCAAACAGGAUUAGAUACCCCUGUAGUCCCUGUCUCUUAUAA
rnacentral:rRNA from 1 species